ACUACAUUUUAAAUACAUUUGGGAAGGAUUGAACAAUGAAGUGGAGCCCAUCAAUAUUGGUACUGAAAAUGAGACAAUGUGGAAACUGAGGCAAAGUGAAGUUAUGCUGAAGGCUACAUAAUAAAUAGCUGUUGAGCAAAAUGGGAUUCAAACUACUCAAGAUGCCUAGCUCCUAACUCAUGCUAAUAAUAAUAAUAAUUUGAUGCCAUGACACCCAGGAUGCAGCUGUAGGAACACCACUGGGUCCCUGGAUGUCAUGUAAGCCCUUAAGUAAAAGUGCCAUCAAAUGAUUUCUCAGAAAUUAUAAAGAAACAAAAGGACCAUAAACAAGAUAAGGUGGCAUGAGGAAACAUUACAAGUACCUUUCAGAGCUGACUGGCAAAGAAACUCCUGAGGUGACGGUUCUACCCCAAUAUUACUUCUUCGAAGAGCAACCUAACUGACCUUGUAUUGAAGACAGCGUAACCCCCAAGAGGAAAGGAGCUUGGAGCCCUGAAUCAGAGUAGAAGACAGGCUGAAUGAAUACCAGCCUUGGACUGUUGUGUGAAUGAAAAACAAGUUUUGAGAUUUGUGUGGUUUAUUUAUUAUAGUUACUGUUAUUAUUAAAGUUUUUCACUGCUUU
ensembl:lncRNA SATB1-AS1 SATB1 antisense RNA 1